rnacentral:lncRNA from 1 species
ACCUCCGGUGGGGUCGUGGUCGCCCCAGUUCAUGGCGAUGGGGGGUGUCCCCGUGGUGUUGGGGUACCCCCGCCUCCUCCCCUCCUCCGGCCGGGAUGGGAGGAGAGUCUCGCUGGCAGCGGGAGGCGCCCGGGGCGGUGUGGCGCGGCGGGGCCACCAGGUGGCGCUAUUGUGCCGCGCUGCGCCGCCCCGAGCGGCGGCGGGGACCGGGAUGGGACGGAGCGGGAUGAACCGGGACCGGGACGAGACGGACCGGGAGGAGAGGGGAGGGGGGAGACGACGGGAUGGGACGAAGCCGGCCAGGACGAACGGGGACGGGUUAAACCGGGGCACGGUUCAACCGGGACGGGCUGGGCUCAACCGGGGCACAGCUCAACCGGGACAGGGUGGGCUCAACCGGGGCACGGCUCAACCGGGGCACAGCUGAACAGGAACGGGCUGAACCGGGACUUGAGGGGCUCAACCGGGGCACAGCUCAACCAGGACGCAGCUCAACCGGAACGAGUUGAACGGGGAUUUGAGGGGCUGAAGUGGGGCACGACUCAACCGGGACAGACUGAUCCGGGACGGGACGGGUUGAACCGGGGCACGGCUCAGCCGGGACUGACUGAAUCGGGACGGGUUGAAACGGGGCACGCUGGAACUGGGCCAUGUCAUCUGGGCACAGCCGAACCGGGAAGGGAUACAGGCAAACCGGGACACAUCCGAUUCGGGACACAGCCGUACCGGGAGGAGGCACAGCUGAACCAGGCACGGCCAGUUCAUCCUCUGCCUGGAUUGGGAGCACCCUGGGCUGUGUCUGCCCCAGAACUGUCUGUCCCCAUCCCUGGACACAUCCCACAGACCCCUUCUCUGUGGGGGAUGUCUCUGGAAUGGGACACCCACUGCUGUACCUGGAAUAAAGUCAAUGAAACCCCUGUGGCUAUGGAAGCUGGUACUGGGAGAGGCUGGGGUCAGGAGCAGGCAUGCAGUGGCAUGGCAUGGCAUGGCAUGGCAUGGAAGCCUGGAGCC